rnacentral:rRNA from 1 species
UACGUAGGGGGCAAGCGUUAUCCGGAUUACUGGGUGUAAAGGGAGCGUAGGCGGUGAUGCAAGUCAGAAGUGAAAGCCCGCAGCUCAACUGCGGGACUGCUUUUGAAACUGUAUGACUAGAUUGCAGGAGAGGUAAGUGGAAUUCCUAGUGUAGCGGUGAAAUGCGUAGAUAUUAGGAGGAACACCAGUGGCGAAGGCGGCUUACUGGACUGUAAAUGACGCUGAGGCUCGAAAGCGUGGGGAGCAAACAGG